rnacentral:lncRNA from 1 species
CUAAUCCAGGAGAGAAUAACAAAAAAUAUUUUUGUUUUUCCCUUGUGAAAUAAAUGCUCGAGUUAUCUUGUUACUACCACUUGCUAUAUUAUCUCAAGAGAUGAAUGCUCUAAAAAAAAGAAAUACGAGGAAAUAAAAAGGAGCAAGUGCUUGGAACCUCGAAAGAAAAGAGAGAGUGAGACGAGAGGUAAAAAUGGACAAGUGUCCGACGGUAGAAUUAGGGGUGCAAGAUACCCACCUGAGAGAAAAGAAAAAGAAGAGCAUCUCAUUCUCCUCAUAAAGUUUCAAAAAAAAGCAAGGAAGGUAUGUAUCCCCUCAAAGAGCAAAGUAGAAUUAGACUUCCACCACCAUUGUUUUCACCAUCAUCACCAUACAUCAUUCAUUCGCCAC